GGCGGAUGUAGCCAAGUGGAUCAAGGCAGUGGAUUGUGAAUCCACCAUGUC
rnacentral:tRNA from 1 species